rnacentral:rRNA from 1 species
GAGACAGCAGUAGCCGCGGUAAUACAGAGGGUGCGAGCGUUAAUCGGAUUUACUGGGCGUAAAGCGUGCGUAGGCGGCUAAUUGAGUCGGAUGUGAAAUCCCCGAGCUUAACUUGGGAAUUGCAUUCGAUACUGGUUAGCUAGAGUGUGGGAGAGGAUGGUAGAAUUCCAGGUGUAGCGGUGAAAUGCGUAGAGAUCUGGAGGAAUACCGAUGGCGAAGGCAGCCAUCUGGCCUAACACUGACGCUGAGGUACGAAAGCAUGGGGAGCAAACAGGAUUAGAUACCCCUGUAGUCCCUGUCUCUUAUAC